rnacentral:rRNA from 1 species
AUUGAACGCUGGCGGCAGGCCUAACACAUGCAAGUCGAACGGUAACAGGAAGAAGCUUGCUUCUUUGCUGACGAGUGGCGGACGGGUGAGUAAUGUCUGGGAAACUGCCUGAUGGAGGGGGAUAACUACUGGAAACGGUAGCUAAUACCGCAUAACGUCGCAAGACCAAAGAGGGGGACCUUCGGGCCUCUUGCCAUCGGAUGUGCCCAGAUGGGAUUAGCUAGUAGGUGGGGUAACGGCUCACCUAGGCGGCGAUCCCUAACUGGUCUGAGAGGAUGACCAGCCACACUGGAACUGAGACACGGUCCAGACUCCUACGGGAGGAAGCAGUGGGGAAUAUUGCACAAUGGGCGCAAGCCUGAUGCAGCCAUGCCGCGUGUAUGCAGAAGGCCUUCGGGUUGUAAAGUACUUUAAGCGGGGAGGAAGGGAGUAAAGUUAAUACCUUUGCUCAUUGACGUUACCCGCAGAAGAAGCACCGGCUAACUCCGUG